UUUAAAAUUGUAUAGGUUGCAAACAUAAAUAGUUUAACACGUAGGUUUUUCGUUGUCAUAUUAAAAUACUUGUUUUCUGUAAAUUAAAUAUUUUGCAGAACUGUCUACGAAUUGCUGACGCAACAAGUCGACAGUUCCUGGCCUGCUCGCACCCGACCACCCGUCUCUUUCUACGUCAUUGUGAUAGCUGCGCGUGCGCCUAGUUAGCGUGUGUUUACAUUUUUUUAUACCAUUCUAGAAGGGAAACGUGAUUGAAUCUGUCAGUCAGUGGCUCAGUUCUGUGGUGUGAUUAAAAAUAAAUAAAAAAACUUAUAGAAAUGUUUAUUUCUAAUGACAUGAUCACCGUCUUUACGGUGUCUGCGGUGCUAUCGUUCGUGAUGUCCGUGACACUGCUGCUCAUAAUCGCAGCGAAGCGCGGGUACAUGCGCGCGGGCAAGUCCAGGGCUGGUCAGGUGUACCUCCUCCCGCACCACACCGCGCCCAAGCCUGCCCCCGCCCCCGCCGUGGAGAUGACGCCUCUUACCAACCAUUCCUUGUAAUAUCUAGGGUUAUGUGGUGUAGCUCUGGGAGGGCUGGAGGGUACUAUUUAUUAAAAUCUCACUAUCACAAUUUGAUAUACUAUCGAGAGAAGUUAAAGUAAUACUAUUAUGUUAGUAAAUACUAUUGCUUUAAGCUAGCGAUAUAGCUCAGAUUUAGGGGAGACUAUCAAUCUAUCAUAUGCUAAUGUAAUUCCAAGAAGUGGACCCUCAACCACUCGCUCAUUAUUUAUUCCACUAUUGAAUAGAUAUUUAGUACUAUCAAUAGUUCAAGCUCAAAUUAUCGAUAGCUCAGAUUCAGGUAACAGUAUCAACAUGAACUAACACUAUCGAGAACAAUCGAUAGCAUCGAUACUGAUGAUUAUUGAUUGGUCCUAGACUAAUGAAUCGAUAGUCUAAGUUAUCGAUAUUCGACAUAAUGUAUGGCAUUAGUUAUAAUAGUGUCGAUAGCAUAGUUCACAGCCAAUCUAUAUUCUAGAUGAUUUUAAAGGUCAACGCGAGAAUGUGUUUACCUUAGACCAAUUAGAAUAAUUUUCAUUUAAUCAAAAAGUAGUUAAUAAUUAUAGAUCAGUGUUUUAAGUGCUAUUAGCUUGCUCUUUGCGCUAUCCGAAUGUGUGCUCUGAGAGGAAUGCAAUAACUCGUAAUUAUUGUACUUUUUGCAUCAAACCAUACAUAUAUUAUCAUAAAAAAUACAUGUAACGUAACAUUCCUUUUAGAGUAUUAUAAGUACAGUCAACAGCACAUCAACUCUCACCCAAAUUCGUUGCAAAUUAACAGCUAUUACCGCCACAUAAAGGCCAUCGCAAGGAAACUUGAAUUGCUGUUGGCUAUACCAUUAACGAUCAAAAUUCAUAACCGUGAUAUACCUAAUUACUAAAAUUAAGAAUUUAAAUUAAUAUUUUCUGUAAGUCUAAAGUUAGUGUUUUGACUUAUGUCCGUGCUUGGGAAGGCACGUUAACAUAUUGGUCCCGAUUGUAUUUGCAGUCGUUAAAACCCGCCAAUCCGCAAUGGGCCCGCGUGGUGGGUCAUGGCCCAUACUCCUUAUCUAUCCAUAGGCCUAUAAGGAAGGAAUAUGAUAAUUAUGACAUGUGUUUUUAUUCUUUUCGCUCCAGAUUUUGUUUUUUCAUACUUUUUUUAUCUGCUACAAGUAAUUACCGACAGUUAUCGUAUUAAGUUUCAUCAGUCAUCCGCUCGGAAAGGAAAUAUGUGUGAAUUGUAACAAAACAGCUAAGGAGCAUUCAUUGUUGAAUAUAUUAUUGUUUGAAGCAGCGUUUAAUAAUGCAAGUUACCUAAAUACAUUUUCAAACCAUAAUGGAGGGAAACUGCACAGAUAUUAUUCGAAUAAAUCAAAUACAUUUGAUUCCUAAAUUUACAGCAUUUAAUUAGUUUCGUAACGAUUCGUAUUCGUAAUAAUUUCAAUAACAGAUUCUAUAUACAUCAUACAAACCGCUUCAACCUAUUAUCUAUAUUAUAAAAACAUUCUUCUUUGACGUCGUUGUGCACUUAUUGUGAUGGGUACAAAAUGUUAAACUCACGUCAGGACACGUGACCAAGUCGUCAAAAAUACACAACGUUAAUAUUCAAGUAAUUUCACCUCACACUUUAUCACAAUCGAGUUCUUAUUUCACAAUAGUAUAACUUAAACUAAACUAAACUUAAAGAAUCACUAAAAAUUAGACUGAAAUUAUAAGUAAAAAAGAGAGGAAGAUAUCCAAGAAGGCUGGUAGCAUUACAUCCCUACUCUGAAAUGCCAAUCUUCUAUGCAAGAAAACUGCCCGCCCCUGGAUCGCCCGUUACGUCGCGAAGACGUGCUGAAAUCUUAUAAAUUGUUUGGCAUUCUUAAAAGUCAAAUAUAAACAUAUCUAAACCAAAUUGGCCGAUUUUGAUGAAUUAUUAACAAACUCGUCACCCGGGGUGAAACAUAACGCGGGCGGGGAUAACACAAAACGUUAUAAAACAACGUUGAAGCAUAUUGCAAGCUAAAAUAUGUUUUGUGUCGUUCUGUCACUGUCAGUAUUGUGUGUCUUACAACUUCACACGAUUUUUUUAAUCUGUGAAUAUACACACGUAAUUAGAUUUAAAGGACUCACCUACAAAACAAUCAAAACCAAUAAUUACAUGAUAGAUCGAAUGAAAGUAACCUUUAAUCUCCAGGGAUACAAUGAACCUUGAACAAGGACGAACAGUAAAUUAAUGUAUCGAAUAUUUAAUUUAAAUGUGAAAUAUAUAUUGGCUUUUAAUUUGAUAAUACACUAGCUGCGUCCCGGGGCUUCGUGCCCGUGGGAAUUUCGGGAUAAAAAUUAAGCUAUGUGUUUUUCCAGGUUGCAUUCUACCCGUGUAUCUAAUUUAAUAACAUUCCGUUUAGUAUUUUUUGCGUGAAAGAGUAACAAACAUACACACACAUAUACAUCCUAGCAAACUUUCGCAUUUAUAAUUUUAAUAGGAUUUAUGUGAAUAGGUACAUAGAAAUAUAAAUAAUAACACAUAAAUGUUACAGAAACAUUAUUUAUUAUAUAGACCUGUGAUAAAAUAUUUCAUUUUAUCUUUGAUGUAGAUAUUAUUAUGUAUCGCAGUGUCCUAGAUGAGCGACUGCGACGCUGCACAAGUAUGCUAUGCGUGUAUGUUAUAGUUAUUGCGAAGACCAUGCAGGCCAUAAAUCCAUAUUUUGCUAUCGACGCAUCGCGUUGGACAACUAGGACACAAUUCAUACUUUUAUAUUAAUAUUAUAAAUGAGAAAGCCUGUCCGCCUAUUUGAGUGUCUAUUCCGCUUUCUCGGCUUAACCGCUAGACCAAUUUUAAUGAAAUUUGGUAAGCAUAUAGUUAAAUAACCAAGUUCAAACAUCGGCUACUUUUUUUUUAAUCAACCACCAUCUAACUGUAAUUGGAAUGAACGUUUGUAUGAAAGUCAUGUCUAAUCCGCUUCCGCUCAGAAAUUGGGCGUGCGCGAUGGCGCAAGCUACUAUUAAAUGGUAAAAAUAAAAUUGUGCCAUGAAUAAUUUUGUACGAUACAGACAUUCGUUAUUUAAUACUUAUUGUAUUGAUAUACUCGUAAGAUCUAAUUAUUGUAUUAAUAUUAGGUAAAAUUUUAACAAUUUUAUGAUGAAUUUAAAUAAAAUUUUGUUAAAUUUA